rnacentral:misc_RNA from 1 species
GAAAUGCGAUAAGUAGUGUGAAUUGCAGAAUUCAGUGAAUCAUCGAAUCUUUGAACGCACAUUGCGCCCCUUGGUAUUCCAUGGGGCAUGCCUGUUCGAGCGUCAUUUGUACCCUCAAGCUCUGCUUGGUGUUGGGUGUUUGUCCCGUCUCCGCGCGUGGACUCGCCCCAAAGUGAUUGGCAGCCGGCGUACUGGUCCCGGAGCGCAGCACAUGUCGCGCAAACGAGUGCCUUGGUACGGCGGCGUCCAUAAGCCCCUCUCUCACGCUCUUGACCUCGGAUCAGCUAGGGAUACCCGCUGAACUUAAGC